GAUGAAGAACGUAGUGAAAUGCGAUAAGUAGUGUGAAUUGCAGAAUUCAGUGAAUCAUCGAAUCUUUGAACGCACAUUGCGCCCCUUGGUAUUCCAUGGGCCAUGCCUGUUCGAGCGUCAUUUGUACCUUCAAGCCUUGCUUGGUGUUGGGUGUUUGUCUCGCCUCUGCGCGCAGACUCGCCUCAAAACAAUUGGCAGCCGGCGUAUUGAUUUCGGAGCGCAGUACAUCUCGCGCUUUGCACUCAGAACGACGACGUCCAAAAGUACAUUUUUACACUCUUGACCUCGGAUCAGGUAGGGAUACCCGCUGAACUUAAGCAUAUCAAUAAGCGGAGGA
rnacentral:misc_RNA from 1 species